CUCAGCUUCUGUUCCUCAACCACGGCCGCCGCGUGGAUGCCGCUGCAUUCGGAGUCGUUUUGCCACUUGGUCCCAGCGCCAGGCUUCUCGGUCGGGAGUUGACCUCAGCCUUUCUGUGACCCAGUUCCUGGCACCCAGCAGGCGCUCGGUGGACGGAUGGGUGGCGGAAUGAAGGACACAGAGGCCACUGCGGGGUCUGGCCUCUAAGAGGCUUUUACGGCCUCCUCCGUCACUACCGGGCGAGUGAUUCAGCCUGCCUUUUUUUUUUUUUUUUUUUUUUGAGAUGGAGUCAAGCUCUGUCGCCCAGGCUGGAGUGCAGUGGCACGAUCUCGGCUCACUGCAACCUCCGCCUCCCAGGUUCAAGCGAUUUUCCUGCCUCAGCCUCCUGAGUAACUGGGAUUACAGGUCUCCAUGCCAGUGAAAUGUCACCUCAACUCCACCGUCCCUGGUGUCAGGCAAGCCCGAGGGACCCAAUUCUGCCUUUCUUCUGGAUUUUCCUAACCUGUUAAGAGUCUUGAAAGUCCUUAAACCACGGGAGACUAUCUGGCACAUGACACGGGAUGAGACUUGGUGGGGGUCCCACGGGGGACAGGUCCUUCCAGCGGUUCCUCUGCACCCAGCGCUGCACGGGCAUGGGGCGUGGGUAAUCAGCCUCCCGAAAGCCACGCGAGUCACGGUCCUGCCUGCGAAGAACUCCCAGGGCGACCUUGGGGCUGAGGAGUGGGCCUGCUUCGGCCUUCUGCUCUUCUGUUGUGUGGUGACCCUCACCAGAGGACAGCUUCAUGCUCUUGGACUUCCCAGCCUCAAGAACUUCUUGCUCUGUUGCCCAGGCUAGAAUGCAGAGGCACCAUCUUGGCUCACUGCAACCUCCGCCUACCGGGUUCAAAUGAUUCUCCUGCCUCAGCCUCCCGAGUAGCUGGGAUUACAGGCACCUGCCACCAUGCCCAGCUAAUUUUUGUAUUUUCAGCAGAGAUGAGGUUUUACCAUGUUGACCAGGCUGGUCUUGAACUCCUGACCUCAAGUGAUCCGCCAACCUCGGCCUCCCAAAGUGCUGAGAUUACAGGCAUGAGCCACCAUGCCCGGCCUCCAUCUUUUACUUUCAAUCUAUCUGAAGCUUUAUAUUUAAGGUGCAUAUAUUUUAGACAGUUAAUAAUUUCAGCUUGCUUUUUUUUUUCCUAGUUGGGGAAACUCUGCUUUUUAAUUGGAUUGUUUAUUCUGGUUACAUUUGUUGUUGUGGUGAAAUUUGGAAAGUUCAACCUGCCACAACGUCUUCACUUACUAUUUUUAAAGGAUAUUCUCAAUGAGUGUGAAUAGUGAGUCAACAGCUUUCUUUCACCAUUUCACACAUCCUGAGCCUCCAUUGUUUUGAGUCAGCUGUCGUUCAUAUCUUUGUUACCUGUGAAUGCACAAAAUUUGCUCUGUAUGAUGACUAUGAUGUGUCCAGGUAGGGUUUUCUUUACAUUUAUUUUUAUGAGGGGUUUAUGAACUUUUUGAAUCUAUAAGUUGAUGUUUUUUCACUACAUUUGAGACUAUAUCAACUUUUUUUUUCUUUCAUCUUUUCCAGCCAUUUCUUCUUGGUUCUGGUUCCGUGUGUACUGCAUGAUAUUGUACCACGUGUCACGGAGACUCGCUUCCUUGUUUUCUUUCAGUUUCAUUUUCCCUUGCACUUCAGAUGGAAUGAUAUCUAUUGAUCUCUUUUCAAGUUCACUCAUUCUUUCUUCUGUAAUGUUCAAUCUCUCUUAAGAAAGUCCAAAUAAAUUUUUCAUUUCAGAGAGUGGAAUUUUCGGUUCU
rnacentral:lncRNA from 1 species